rnacentral:rRNA from 1 species
CCUACGGGCGGCAGCAGUGAGGAAUAUUGGUCAAUGGACGAGAGUCUGAACCAGCCAAGUAGCGUGAAGGAUGACUGCCCUAUGGAUUGUAAACUUCUUUUAUAUGGGAAUAAAAUGUUCCACGUGUGGCAUUUUGUAUGUACCUUAUGAAUAAGGAUCGGCUAACUCCGUGCCAGCAGCCGCGGUAAUACGGAGGAUCCGAGCGUUAUCCGGAUUUAUUGGGUUUAAAGGGAGCGUAGGUGGAUUGUUAAGUCAGUUGUGAAAGUUUGCGGCUCAACCGUAAAAUUGCAGUUGAAACUGGCAGUCUUGAGUGCAGUAGAGGUGGGCGGAAUUCGUGGUGUAGCGGUGAAAUGCUUAGAGAUCACGAAGAACUCCGAUUGCGAAGGCAGCUCACUGGACUGUAACUGACACUGAGGCUCGAAAGUGUGGGUAUCAAACAGGAUUAGAUACCCCAGUAGUC